rnacentral:rRNA from 1 species
CCCUUAGAUGUUCUGGGCCGCACGCGCGCUACACUGACGAAUGCAACGAGCUUAUAACCUUGGCCGAAAGGUCUGGGUAAUCUCCAAAUUUCGUCGUGAUGGGGAUAGAUUAUUGCAAUUAUUAAUCUUCAACGAGGAAUGCCUAGUAAGCGCAAGUCAUCAGCUUGCGUUGAUUACGUCCCUGCCCUUUGUACACACCGCCCGUCGCUACUACCGAUUGGAUGGUUUAGUGAGACCCUCGGAUCGGUCCCGACUCGGGGUGGGCUUCUGCCCCGGUCGUGGUUUCGCCGAGAAGACGGUCAAACUUGACUAUCUAGAGGAAGUAAAAGUCGUAACA